GGUUGAUCCUGCCAGUAGUCAUAUGCUUGUGUUAAAGAUUAAGCCAUGCAUGCCUAAGUAUAGGUGGAUAUAACCGAAACUGCGGAUGGCUCAUUAAAUCAGUCAUAAUUAAUUUGGUGAAGACGAUAGAAGUUGCGGGCAACCGUGAUUUUUAUUAAAGAAGGAUAACCCUGUUAAUUGUAGAGCUAAUACAUGAAAGAACACGAUACCUGUCAAAAGGUAGCAUUUGCCAGCUCCCAAAUUAAUCAAAGAUUCCACAAACUAUGACUUUAAGAGUGAGUACCCAUAAUCU
rnacentral:rRNA from 1 species